rnacentral:lncRNA from 1 species
CACCACCUAUAGAUCCAUAUAGCACCACUUUUCGACCACAACACCUAUCGGACUCCACCACCACCAGUGUCGCCUCACUCUCCCCAAUAUCCUCCUCCAUAGUAUUGGUCACCAAUCUGUCCGAAACAACCACAUUUACGGUGGUGGAGUCCAGUGGGCAUGGUGGCCGAAAGGUGGUAUUAUGUGGAUUUAUAGUUGGCAGCUUGAUAGGUUGUGAAAAUGGUGGUGGUUGAG